CCUACGGGAGGCAGCAGUGAGGAAUAUUGGUCAAUGGGCGCAAGCCUGAACCAGCCAAGUAGCGUGCAGGAUGACUGCCCUACGGGUUGUAAACUUCUUUUAUAAGGGAAUAACGUGACGUACGUGUGCCUCUUUGUAUGUACUUUAUGAAUAAGGAUCGGCUAAUUCCGUGCCAGCAGCCGCGGUAAUACGGAGGAUCCGGGCGUUAUCCGGAUUUAUUGGGUUUAAAGGGAGCGUAGGAUGGUUGUCACGGGUGCUGUGAAAGGUUGCGGCUCAACCGUAGAAUUGCAACGUAUACUGGCGGGCUUGAGUACGAGGAAGGCAGGCGGAAUU
rnacentral:rRNA from 1 species